GGUUAAGCGACUAAGCGUACACGGUGGAUGCCCUGGCAGUCAGAGGCGAUGAAGGACGUGCUAAUCUGCGAUAAGCGUCGGUAAGGUGAUAUGAACCGUUAUAACCGGCGAUUUCCGAAUGGGGAAACCCAGUGUGAUUCGUCACACUAUCAUUAACUGAAUCCAUAGGUUAAUGAGGCGAACCGGGGGAACUGAAACAUCUAAGUACCCCGAGGAAAAGAAAUCAACCGAGAUUCCCCCAGUAGCGGCGAGCGAACGGGGAGCAGCCCAGAGCCUGAAUCAGUGUGUGUGUUAGUGGAAGCGUCUGGAAAGGCGCGCGAUACAGGGUGACAGCCCCGUACACAAAAAUGCACAUACUGUGAGCUCGAUGAGUAGGGCGGGACACGUGGUAUCCUGUCUGAAUAUGGGGGGACCAUCCUCCAAGGCUAAAUACUCCUGACUGACCGAUAGUGAACCAGUACCGUGAGGGAAAGGCGAAAAGAACCCCGGCGAGGGGAGUGAAAAAGAACCUGAAACCGUGUACGUACAAGCAGUGGGAGCACAGAGCAAUCUGUGUGACUGCGUACCUUUUGUAUAAUGGGUCAGCGACUUAUAUUCUGUAGCAAGGUUAACCGAAUAGGGGAGCCGAAGGGAAACCGAGUCUUAACUGGGCGUUAAGUUGCAGGGUAUAGACCCGAAACCCGGUGAUCUAGCCAUGGGCAGGUUGAAGGUUGGGUAACACUAACUGGAGGACCGAACCGACUAAUGUUGAAAAAUUAGCGGAUGACUUGUGGCUGGGGGUGAAAGGCCAAUCAAACCGGGAGAUAGCUGGUUCUCCCCGAAAGCUAUUUAGGUAGCGCCUCGUGAAUUCAUCUCCGGGGGUAGAGCACUGUUUCGGCAAGGGGGUCAUCCCGACUUACCAACCCGAUGCAAACUGCGAAUACCGGAGAAUGUUAUCACGGGAGACACACGGCGGGUGCUAACGUCCGUCGUGAAGAGGGAAACAACCCAGACCGCCAGCUAAGGUCCCAAAGUCAUGGUUAAGUGGGAAACGAUGUGGGAAGGCCCAGACAGCCAGGAUGUUGGCUUAGAAGCAGCCAUCAUUUAAAGAAAGCGUAAUAGCUCACUGGUCGAGUCGGCCUGCGCGGAAGAUGUAACGGGGCUAAACCAUGCACCGAAGCUGCGGCAGCGACGCUGAUGCGUUGUUGGGUAGGGGAGCGUUCUGUAAGCCUGCGAAGGUGUGCUGUGAGGCAUGCUGGAGGUAUCAGAAGUGCGAAUGCUGACAUAAGUAACGAUAAAGCGGGUGAAAAGCCCGCUCGCCGGAAGACCAAGGGUUCCUGUCCAACGUUAAUCGGGGCAGGGUGAGUCGACCCCUAAGGCGAGGCCGAAAGGCGUAGUCGAUGGGAAACAGGUUAAUAUUCCUGUACUUGGUGUUACUGCGAAGGGGGGACGGAGAAGGCUAUGUUGGCCGGGCGACGGUUGUCCCGGUUUAAGCGUGUAGGCUGGUUUUCCAGGCAAAUCCGGAAAAUCAAGGCUGAGGCGUGAUGACGAGGCACUACGGUGCUGAAGCAACAAAUGCCCUGCUUCCAGGAAAAGCCUCUAAGCAUCAGGUAACAUCAAAUCGUACCCCAAACCGACACAGGUGGUCAGGUAGAGAAUACCAAGGCGCUUGAGAGAACUCGGGUGAAGGAACUAGGCAAAAUGGUGCCGUAACUUCGGGAGAAGGCACGCUGAUAUGUAGGUGAAGUCCCUCGCGGAUGGAGCUGAAAUCAGUCGAAGAUACCAGCUGGCUGCAACUGUUUAUUAAAAACACAGCACUGUGCAAACACGAAAGUGGACGUAUACGGUGUGACGCCUGCCCGGUGCCGGAAGGUUAAUUGAUGGGGUUAGCGCAAGCGAAGCUCUUGAUCGAAGCCCGGUAAACGGCGGCCGUAACUAUAAACGGUCCUAAGGUAGCGAAAUUCCUUGUGGGUAAGUUCCGACCUGCACGAAUGGCGUAAUGAUGGCCAGGCUGAUCUCCACCCGAGAACUCAGUGAAAUUGAACUCGCUGUGAAGAAGAUGCAGUGUACCCGCGGCAAGACGAAAGACCCGUGAACCUUUACUAUAGCUUGACACUGAACAUUGAGCCUUGAUGUGUAGGAUAGGUGGGAGGCUUUGAAGUGUGGACGCCAGUCUGCAUGGAGCCGACCUUGAACCACCCUUUAAUGUUUGAUGUUCUAACGUGGACCCGUAAUCCGGGUUGCGGACAGUGUCUGGUGGGUAGUUUGACUGGGGCGGUCUCCUCCUAAAGAGUAACGGAGGAGCACGAAGGUUGGCUAAUCCUGGUCGGACAUCAGAGGUUGUGUGCAAUGGCAUAAGCCAGCUUGACUGCGAGCGUGACGGCGCGAGCAGGUGCGAAAGCAGGUCAUAGUGAUCCGGUGGUUCUGAAUGGAAGGGCCAUCGCUCAACGGAUAAAAGGUACUCCGGGGAUAACAGGCUGAUACCGCCCAAGAGUUCAUAUCGACGGCGGUGUUUGGCACCUCGAUGUCGCUCAUCACAUCCUGGGGCUGAAGUAGGUCCCAGGGUAUGGCUGUUCGCCAUUUAAAGUGGUACGCGAGCUGGGUUUAGAACGUCGUGAGGACAGUUCGGUCCCUAUCUGCCGUGGGCGCUGGAGAACUGAGGGGGGCUGCUCCUAGUACGAGAGGACCGGAGUGGACGCAUCACUGGUGUUCGGGUGUCAUGCAAUGGCACUGCCGGUAGCUAAAUGCGGAAGAGAUAAGUGCUGAAAGCAUCUAAGCACGAAACUUGCCCCGAGAUGAGUUCUCCCUGACUCCUUGAGAGUCCUGAAGGAACGUUGAAGACGACGACGUUGAUAGGCCGGGUGUGUAAGCGCAGCGAUGCGUUGAGCUAACCGGUACUAAUGAACCGUGAGGCUUAACCUU
rnacentral:rRNA from 1 species